GCCACCGAUCGAUAUCGAUCCUCGAAAAAGUGGGAAAACGUUUAGCGCUCUCGCUUCCAUCUUCGUUAAACUUGCACCACCUCGCAACAAGAGGAAGAACGAGGGAAUUCAACGAGUGGUGUACGUCGUACUAUCGACCCCCUGUUGAGACGAGACACCGUUUCGAGUACUAGAAAAACGAGGAGCAAGAGAGGAUGCUCGCGAGGG